AAAGUAUUAUUUUAAAUUUAAAAAUAUCUGAUUUUUAAUCAGAAGAUUUAAUAUUUUA
rnacentral:tRNA from 1 species